rnacentral:rRNA from 1 species
GAUGAACGCUAGCGGCAGGCCUAACACAUGCAAGUCGAGCGGGAUCAGAUUUUAGCUUGCUAGGAUCUAUGAGAGCGGCGCACGGGUGCGUAACGCGUAUGCAACCUACCCUUUGCUGGGGGAUAGCCCGGAGAAAUUCGGAUUAAUACCCCAUAGUAUCACUGAUUCGCAUGUUUUAGUGAUUAAAGGUUACGGCAAAGGAUGGGCAUGCGUCCCAUUAGCUAGAUGGUGAGGUAACGGCUCACCAUGGCGACGAUGGGUAGGGGGCCUGAGAGGGUGGUACCCCACACUGGUACUGAGACACGGACCAGACUCCUACGGGAGGCAGCAGUGAGGAAUAUUGGUCAAUGGGCGCAAGCCUGAACCAGCCAUGCCGCGUGCAGGAAGACGGUCCUAUGGAUUGUAAACUGCUUUUAUUUGGGAAUAAACUCCGGUACGUGUACCGGCCUGAAGGUACCAAAUGAAUAAGCACCGGCUAACUCCGUGCCAGCAGCCGCGGUAACAC